UACGGGGGGAGCAAGCGUUGUUCGGAUUUACUGGGCGUAAAGGGCGCGUAGGCGGUCAGCACAAGUCAGUUGUGAAAUCUCCGGGCUUAACUCGGAAAGGUCAAGUGAUACUGUCGGACUAGAGUACAGAAGGGGCAACUGGAAUUCUCGGUGUAGCGGUGAAAUGCGUAGAUAUCGAGAGGAACACCUGCGGCGAAGGCGGGUUGCUGGGCUGAUACUGACGCUGAGGCGCGAAAGCCAGGGGAGCGAACGGG
rnacentral:rRNA from 1 species